UACGUAGGGUGCAAGCGUUAAUCGGAAUUACUGGGCGUAAAGCGUGCGCAGGCGGUUCGCUAAGACCGAUGUGAAAUCCCCGGGCUUAACCUGGGAACUGCAUUGGUGACUGGCAGGCUAGAGUGUGGCAGAGGGGGGUGGAAUUCCACGUGUAGCAGUGAAAUGCGUAGAGAUGUGGAGGAACACCGAUGGCGAAGGCAGCCCCCUGGGCUAACACUGACGCUCAUGCACGAAAGCGUGGGGAGCAAACAGG
rnacentral:rRNA from 1 species